rnacentral:lncRNA from 1 species
GUUAUUCCGAAACCUACGUCAAGGGAUUUCGCCUGAGGAAACAAGUACUGUGCACUGUUUGGACUUUUCGUCAAUGGCUCAAGUUCUGGUUGGCUUUUUGUCAAACUAAAAGUACCAUGGGAUGCAAAUCCAAUCCAAAGGACGCAGACAUGCAAAAGGAGAGCUCGCAGCGGGAAGAUAUUGUCACAGACUGUGAAUCACGCACCUCACAUUCGACUGGGCAGGAUAGAAGUCCCCAGUCUAACACAGUGCCAAACUCCAACAUAUCAAGUGGCCCACAGAACACACUUGCAGUGCCAACAACCCCGGUUAGACCAGCACACCAACAUAUGCACCACAGCUCAACUGACCCCCAUCUGCAUGGUUCUCGACCCCAUAGUGCACACCUCCAUCAUCGACUGAUGGGACGGAUUCUACGAGGAAUGGGCGAUAGCUAUUGUUACAGUUGUGGUAUAGCACUGCGACAGAUGGGUGACGAACUAUCAGGGGAGUAUGAAGUUCGGAGGGCAUUAAGUACAGGAGAUUUGCCCAAUUCCAUAAAAAAUUCCUGACAAUCAUAUGUGCCUGUGUUUUAUUGAGUGAUCAUACUUCAUCAUUCCUGGUAUCUGGCUCCCCAUCCGAACAAUGAAGACGUGAUACCAACCUCGACCUGAUUUACAGGAUCCCAGAUGCCAAAUUAAAAAAUGUACAUUGAUUUAAUGAAUUGAGAGUCUCCCAAAAAUUAUAUUUAUGUCAAGUUUUAAUUUAUCAAAAUGGCCAAAUGAUGCUGAUGGCAUUUCAUAAUCAACACUUAUCUAAUGAAGAUGUCAGACUACUGAGUCAAACGGAUGUUACUGUCAGUCUGUGUGUUGCAAGUAAUUUAUCGUCAUGAAUAUUGCACAGUAUUGCUAUUUUGCCUUUUAUUUUUUUUAUUGGUUAUGUUUGUAGACAUAUAUAUAUGAAAUGGGCACUUGACUGUCCCCAAAACAAUGCUCAUCAUUGGAAAUAGCUUGUACCAUGUAUACAGAAAAUGUACAAAGUAGUGUUCAUAUUACCAUUGAAUAUGCUUGAAGCAAAGUAAAUAAUGGGUUUAAUAUUUAUCAUGAAUUGUUUGGAUUGGAUGAAGUUGAUAUUUACCUUUAGCCAAAAGUUUUUUGUUUGUCGUUAACUUUACUGAAUUAUGAGCAUACAUACUUUUGUCUUUUAUCAUGAAAGUUUUAUGCAUUGACAUUCACUAUGAGAAUAUAAAAUGAUUGGAAGAUAACUGUAUUCUUAUCGGAAAUCUUAAUCCACAUUUUCCUAUAUUUAGGUGAAAUGAAAAUUUGUAUUUAUGUAAGGUUGUCUUCUGGUCUGUAUUAAUUAUGAUUAAAAAUAUUUUAUUUUUCUAACCAAGGUGUUUUAAGAAAUCUAGUUUUUAUAUUUUAUGGUUUGGUUGGAAGAUAGUCAGAUUGCUCUACCUAUGCCUGCACCUGGUGCAUACUUUACAGGAAAUAUUAAGCUUAAAAAUAAUAGAAAUUUCUUUGCCACUUACAAACCAGCAAACCUGCUUUAACAACAGUUAGGAAGAGGCUCUUUGUAAACUCCCCUUCAAGGUGUUCAGUGAUAGUAUCUGUUUCUGGAAACUCACAAUACAUGUAGUAACAAGCCUUGUCCAAGUGAUGAUGGUCGCUAUUGUUACAGCUGUGGUAAAAUAACAGUGAUAUAAAACAUAAUAUGAGCUUCAAUCCACCAUGUCAAAUAUCUUCAGUUUUACCUCUGGUCUAAUGAUAAAGUCAUGCUUCCUGUUUACAACUGAAUUGUUAUGAAUAUGUCCACACAGAUUUAGCAUGUUUCAGGAGUAAACAUUGUAUUUUUGUUUAGAAAAGUGGCACACUAUCUCAUAGUACUACCAAUACUAUACUAGAAGUACUAAAGCAGAGAGAAAUAUAACUGAGUACCACAAGGUUGUUUAUUUAUGAUCAUGAAGUCAUACUUUUGUUUAUUUCUUGAAGGGUAAAACACACUGAAAAAAUCCCCUCCAUGAUAACUGACCCAUUAGUGCUGCCACAUCACAGAGACACUUGUUCAAAGUAUUCCAGAAAGUAUUUCCCCAAACCUUCCAGUAUUUUGUCUUGUGCAUCUCACAAAUAUGGAUGCCUGUUGGCCGUCGUAUCAUGGUGUUUGUAGGUACCGUAUUCACCAUAAUAAGCACACUGAGUACUUAGAUUAGUGACAAAGCGAGGCAUUUGUCAUUUAAUGAUUUAUUAUAUUUCUUGUCAGAGGUUGAGUGGUAGUGAUCAAGCUUAGUUCAAAAGUUGUUAAAACUAAAUGAAGUUAAAACCUUUUCGAUAAUAAAUACCAGGCAAAUAUAUACCCCUCUUUGCUGUUUUCUGUAAAAAAUAUGGACUGUUAAAUUAUUCAGGGUGACAACAAAGAUGACUGGUUGGUCAGGGGUAGCUUAUUGAAGUAGGGUUUUUAAGACGGCAAAGUGUAUUUUGUUGUAUUUUGGGGGGGCCAAUCUUCUUUCAUUGUUUGUCAUCACCACUCAACCAAUGUUUAUUUCAAAUCAAAAAUAAUUUAUUUUAUUCUCACCUAUCAUGUCCAUUCCAAAUUAGAACUGUUCGGACCUUUUAACAACUGCUGUGAAACAAGGAACAAUUAGAAAUGUCAGAGUUAUGUCCCCUGAUAUGACAGAGUCAGUCUCUUAAGACAAGUAAAGGUUACAUAUGAAGAGAAAUGGAAAGGUUCUCAGUCCCAAAUGUUUUAUAAGAAGUGUUAUCUAAAGGGUCUUUCAACAUUAUCACUGGGACUAGGUAUAGGGAGUUAUAAAUGAAAGGUAUAUGUAAUGAAAGGUUCAUGUAAAGAACAUACAUCAACCCAAAUAUUAUUAAUGGUUGUUAGUAAAUUAGCACAUUGAGUAUUUUUUUACAUUUUUAUUGUUUUUGUGACCUGAUAAUUGCUCAUGGUCACUGAAAGUGGCACCAUUGUGCUGCUGUACAAUGCAGGUCUUCCAGCUGUCAGGUCCAUCAGAUACUGUGAUGUAUAAUAAUCUGGAGUGUAUACACUGUAGCCAUUAGGACUACAUGAAGUUCAACAAACUCCACCAGGCUCCUGGCAUACCUGUACGUAUGACCACUAGCCUGAACUAAAGACUAGUAAAUAUCUGCUGGGCUAGUGAACAUAGCUAAAUAUCCGUUUGUUGAACAGUUUGAUAGUUAUGUCCACAGCAUUAGACAGUGUGUGACAGUAAACUGUGAUAAUGAACAUAUUCCUUUUAUGAAAAUAUCCUGGCAUUAGCGGAAUGGCAAAACUGAUUGGCUUGCUUCUUGCACUUUAUUUCUAUUGUGCUUGUACUUGGAACCACAGGGUAGUCCAAUCUGUUUGACCCAGGAGACUUAUGUGAAGAUUAGAUUCAGUGAUUUAUGAAAGGAUUUAAAUUUUGAAACAGAGAUCUUUAUUUGCAUGUUUCUAAAUACUUUCAUAUGCUAUAAAAUCAAAAUUAUGAUAAUCCAGGUUAGAAUAGUUACAUUGAAAAGUGGAGUGAUUCUGUCAAAUGAAACAGCAUUCAAAAUGGAAAGUCAGGAGUAUUUGCUAUGAUGCGCCUCUUACACUUUGUCAACUGAUUAAAUAUUUUUCAAUGUGCAUUGGCGGUGACCCAAAUUGUAGAGGUGAUGUUUUCUGAAAAUAUACCUUAUAGAUAACUGAUAAGAUGAAUCUUGAGAUUGACUGCACUUUGAGACUGGUAGAAGGUAAAAGUAUUACUCCUUCAGUGAUGAAUCAGCAAUUCAAUGGGUAGAAUUGUUAAAAAGGGUGUGUAUAAUUGGUCUUGGUUGUAUAGUUACUGAUAAUGUAACAUGUUGCCAAAAAUAAUUGGUCAAGAAUUGGACAUAUUGUGUUCUGACUUAGAUUUAGGAUCAGAUAUGGUUUAUGUAACCAUGGUUACUGCUAGAAGAGUAUUUUAAGUGAUGCCUUUGAUCACAGGAAUAAAGUGACAUGGAAAUGUCCAGAUGAUCAAAUUCCAGAUUUAUAAUCAUGGUUUAGAGGUCAUGACCCUUUUAAUUAUAUUUGUCUUUCCCAAAUCUUGCUCCAGAAGGAGGGGUUUCUGGACUUAAGGGGGUUUGGAGUAACACGAUUUCACCGUUGUCACUUUUGCAAAAUGGCAACAUUAUUACUUAAGAAACUUAAUAACACAUGUUGUUUUCCAAUAAAAGAUUGGUGAAUGAGUGACAAUGAAGUUAAUGACUAUGUCAGUGACUUGUGACUUGUACAUCAUGAACAGUCUUUACCUAUGUGUUUACUGAUUUGUUUCUCCUGUUUUGUUGAAGUGUUUAGACAUGCUUCCUGAAAACUGAUAAAUAUUUUCGGUACAUGGAAGUCGUUACCAUGGUUACAAAUGGCUUCUUUGAUGCUGCAGUGUUUUAAGUACAUAGAUACCAGCUUUAGGGUGUUUCUUUCAUUGUGUUUCUGUUAUUGAAACAAGUAUGUCUGGAGUGAUGAAAUGAUUCCUCUUGUAAAUAAAGUUUCAUGUCAUCCACGUUUCA